UCAGCUUCAACUGAGGCCAACCAGAUGUCCCAAGGCCAGGCUUCAGGGUCCCACUCCUCCAACCACCGCCCUACCUUUGACAUGAGAAACACAGGCUGGGAAUUCAGCUGACUUUGGGGAUUCUGUAACCCGCACAGCUAAACGCUGUGUUUGCUUUUGAGCCCUGUCAACCCUUGCAGGUGGAGGAAGUGAGCGAAUUUUUAGGGCCGUCGUGGAAGUUCUCUGGUUGUCAUACGGUGGCUUGAGCUGAGAGAGGGGAUUGAAUAUGAGCAGUCGGCCACUCAGGGAUCCGACGACUGGAGUCACGGAGAUAAUACGGGAGGAACCUGCCGCCUCUAGAGCAAGGGGAACAGGUUGGUGUCACCAGGAGCCUAGAAGCCAGGAUGAGGGGGCCUUGAAGAGCCAGAGCCUGGACCUCUGAGGAGGGGCUGCGGCAAUUACUCAGGGAAGGAGAAAACCACGUUAUCCACCGGGAGGGGAAACAGGGCAGGAGAGAGAGACACAGCGAGAGAGGGAACACAAGCAGGGGG